rnacentral:misc_RNA from 1 species
GAUGAAGAACGUAGCGAAAUGCGAUAAGUAGUGUGAAUUGCAGAAUUAAGUGAAUCAUCGAAUCUUUGAACGCACAUUGCGCCCCUUGGUAUCCCGAGGGGCAUGCCUGUUCGAGCGUCAUUUCACCACUCAAGCCUGGCUUGGUGUUGGGCGACGUCCUCUUUGGGGACGCGCCUCGAAACGCUCGGCGGCGUGGCACCGGCUUUAAGCGUAGCAGAAUCUUUCGCUUUGGAAGUCGGGGCCCCGUCUGCCGGAAGACCUGCUCGCAAGGUUGACCUCGGAUCAGGCAGGGAUACCCGCUGAACUUAAGCAUAUCAAUAAGCGGAGGA